AGUGAACGCUGGCGGUAGGCCUAACACAUGCAAGUCGAACGGCAGCACAGUAAGAUCUUGCUCUUACGGGUGGCGAGUGGCGGACGGGUGAGGAAUACAUCGGAAUCUACUUUUUCGUGGGGGAUAACGUAGGGAAACUUACGCUAAUACCGCAUACGACCUACGGGUGAAAGCAGGGGAUCUUCGGACCUUGCGCGAUUGAAUGAGCCGAUGUCGGAUUAGCUAGUUGGCGGGGUAAAGGCCCACCAAGGCGACGAUCCGUAGCUGGUCUGAGAGGAUGAUCAGCCACACUGGAACUGAGACACGGUCCAGACUCCUACGGGAGGCAGCAGUAGGGAAUAUUGGACAAUGGGCGCAAGCCUGAUCCAGCCAUACCGCGUGGGUGAAGAAGGCCUUCGGGUUGUAAAGCCCUGUUGUUGGGGAAGAAAAGCAGCAGGUUAAUACCCCGCUGUUCUGACGGUACCCAAAGAAUAAGCACCGGCUAACUUCGUG
rnacentral:rRNA from 1 species